GAACUCCUGAAGCCGCUCCAGGUCUGUGGGAUCUAUCGGGCGACUCACGGGCACAAAAUCCACAGUGGCCGCACAUGUUGAAGAGGAGGCACCCCUCCUGAGAAGAACUCCAAAAUAUCUGUGGACAUUGGGAAAUGAUUAAGUUUCAACUAAAUUUCAUCAACUUCUUCCAUUAAGGUGUGCAGUUGAAGACAUCUUCGGCAUGUCUGUAGAACUCCUCUCCAAGGAUGGUCUGGAAGUCCUUGUGACUUGUGUGGACCAGGCAGCGUGUGGCGUC